AUCAAGAGGAAGGACAUGACAUGCUUCAGGAACAACUUUCUAGGAUUGUUAUUGGUGGUGAUGGUGAAAAGGAAAAGCAGUGUUAUUAUGACAUGUCAUGGUCAUAUGUCAUAUGUCAUAUCAUGACAGCUAGCCCUAGCAAGGACUAGGAGAUAGGAAGGGGAGGGAGAUGUUGCCUUUGAUAGUUCCAAUCCUGGGAACAUCACAGUCUGGAAGCCUAAAAGAUUCCAAGUACCAAGUUUGCAGCAAAAUGGUAAGUUCCUCAUUGAGAAAAGAACAAUGUUUUUGUGCUUCUUGGUGGUCACCCAAUGCAGCAUCCAAAGGAACUGACACACUAAGAUUCGCUAACUGAUUCUUACCUCGGAAAGGCUCCAUACACCUCCGACCACAGCCAAAGAAACAACACUUUCUCUCUCCCUGGCAAUCAUCAUCAGACCGACAGGUGUAGACCCAGUUAUUCCUGGGGCAAAUCUU